UACGAAGGGUGCAAGCGUUACUCGGAAUUACUGGGCGUAAAGCGUGCGUAGGUGGUUUGUUAAGUCUGAUGUGAAAGCCCUGGGCUCAACCUGGGAAUUGCAUUGGAUACUGGCAGGCUAGAGUGCGGUAGAGGAUGGCGGAAUUCCCGGUGUAGCAGUGAAAUGCGUAGAGAUCGGGAGGAACAUCUGUGGCGAAGGCGGCCAUCUGGACCAGCACUGACACUGAGGCACGAAAGCGUGGGGAGCCAAACAGG
rnacentral:rRNA from 1 species